rnacentral:rRNA from 1 species
AACGAACGCUGGCGGCAUGCCUAACACAUGCAAGUCGAACGAGACCUUCGGGUCUAGUGGCGCACGGGUGCGUAACGCGUGGGAACCUGCCCUUAGGUUCGGAAUAACUCCCCGAAAGGGGUGCUAAUACCGGAUAAUGUCUUCGGACCAAAGAUUUAUCGCCUUUGGAUGGGCCUGCGUUGGAUUAGCUAGUUGGUAGGGUAAAAGCCUACCAAGGCGACGAUCCAUAGCUGGUCUGAGAGGAUGAUCAGCCACACUGGGACUGAGACACGGCCGAGACUCCUACGAGAGGAAGAAGAGGGGAAUAGUGGAAAAUGGGCGAAAGUCUGAUCAAGCAAUGCCGCGUGAGUGAUGAAGGCCUUAGGGUUGUAAAGAUAUUUGACCCGGGAUGAGAAUGACAGUACAGGGAGAAUAAGCUCAGGCUAACUCCGUG